UACGAAGGGGGCUAGCGUUGUUCGGAAUUACUGGGCGUAAAGGGCGCGUAGGCGGUCCUGAUCGUCGGAUGUGAAAGGCCUGGGCUCAACCUGGGAAUGGCAUCCGAUACGGCGGGACUGGAGUGUGGGAGAGGUUGGUGGAAUUCCCAGUGUAGAGGUGAAAUUCGUAGAUAUUGGGAAGAACACCCGGUGGCGAAGGCGGCCAACUGGACCACAACUGACGCUGAGGCGCGAAAGCGUGGGGAGCAAACAGG
rnacentral:rRNA from 1 species